GACGAACGCUGGCGGCGUGCUUAACACAUGCAAGUCGAACGGAAAGGCCCUGCUUGCAGGGUACUCGAGUGGCGAACGGGUGAGUAACACGUGGGUGAUCUGCCCUGCACUUCGGGAUAAGCCUGGGAAACUGGGUCUAAUACCGGAUAGGAGCCAUUUUUAGUGUGAUGGUUGGAAAGUUUUUUCGGUGUAGGAUGAGCUCGCGGCCUAUCAGCUUGUUGGUGGGGUAAUGGCCUACCAAGGCGGCGACGGGUAGCCGGCCUGAGAGGGUGGACGGCCACAUUGGGACUGAGAUACGGCCCAGACUCCUACGGGAGGCAGCAGUGGGGAAUAUUGCACAAUGGGCGCAAGCCUGAUGCAGCGACGCCGCGUGGGGGAUGACGGCCUUCGGGUUGUAAACUCCUUUCGCUAGGGACGAAGCUUUUUGUGACGGUACCUAGAUAACAAGCACCGGCUAACUACGUG
rnacentral:rRNA from 1 species